GAACGCAUCUUGCACCCUUGGGUAUUCCUGAGGGUACGUCUGUUUCAGUAUCAUUUAAACCUCUCCUCGAUCAAUUAUGAUUGAUGGGAAAUAUUACUACUGGCUGCAAGUCCAACCUGGGCUUUACGGCUUAAAAAUUGCUCGGUUUUUCAUUUUUUGACUGACUAUUACCCUUUGGUAGAAACUCUACUAUAAGCAUACCUAGUCACAUCAUCUAGUCUAACCCACCACUUUUUUACACUUGAUCUGAAAUCAGAUGGGAUUACCCGCUGAACUUAAG
rnacentral:misc_RNA from 1 species